UCCAGAGCCCAUUGAAGUCAGU
rnacentral:miRNA from 2 species